rnacentral:rRNA from 1 species
UAAGACGAACCGUGCGAACGUUAUUCGGAAUCACUGGGCUUAAAGCGCGUGUAGGCGGAUCAGCACGUCUGUCGCUGAAAUCCCCCGGCUCAACCGGGGAACGGGCGUGGAUACGGCUGGUCUGGAGGGGCGUAGGGGGACCUGGAACUUCCGGUGGAGCGGUGAAAUGCGUUGAGAUCGGAAG